UGCCAGUCACUACCUCAUGCCAAGGA
rnacentral:misc_RNA from 1 species